AACAGGAUUAGAUACCCUGGUAGUCCACGCCCUAAACGAUGUCUACUAGUUGUCGGGUCUUAAUUGACUUGGUAACGCAGCUAACGCGUGAAGUAGACCGCCUGGGGAGUACGGUCGCAAGAUUAAAACUCAAAGGAAUUGACGGGGACCCGCACAAGCGGUGGAUGAUGUGGAUUAAUUCGAUGCAACGCGAAAAACCUUACCUACCCUUGACAUGGCUGGAAUCCUCGAGAGAUUGAGGAGUGCUCGAAAGAGAACCAGUACACAGGUGCUGCAUGGCUGUCGUCAGCUCGUGUCGUGAGAUGUUGGGUUAAGUCCCGCAACGAGCGCAACCCUUGUCAUUAGUUGCCACGAAAGGGCACUCUAAUGAGACUGCCGGUGACAAACCGGAGGAAGGUGGGGAUGACGUCAAGUCCUCAUGGCCCUUAUGGGUAGGGCUUCACACGUCAUACAAUGGUACAUACAGAGCGCCGCCAACCCGCGAGGGGGAGCUAAUCGCAGAAAGUGUAUCGUAGUCCGGAUUGUAGUCUGCAACUCGACUGCAUGAAGUUGGAAUCGCUAGUAAUCGCGGAUCAGCAUGUCGCGGUGAAUACGUUCCCGGGUCUUGUACACACCGCCCGUCACACCAUGGGAGCGGGUUUUACCAGAAGUAGGUAGCUUAACCGUAAGGAGGGCGCUUACCACGGUAGGAUUCGUGACUGGGGUGAAGUCGUAACAAGGUAACC
rnacentral:rRNA from 1 species